UACGGAGGGUGCGAGCGUUGUCCGGAUUUAUUGGGCGUAAAGGGAGCGUAGGCGGAUUUUUAAGUGAGAUGUGAAAUACUCGGGCUUAACCUGAGUGCUGCAUUUCAAACUGGAAGUCUAGAGUGCAGGAGAGGAGAAGGGAAUUCCUAGUGUAGCGGUGAAAUGCGUAGAGAUUAGGAAGAACACCAGUGGCGAAGGCGCUUCUCUGGACUGUAACUGACGCUGAGGCUCGAAAGUGUGGGGAGCGAACCGG
rnacentral:rRNA from 1 species